AAGGUAAGGCAUGGUAAAUACAUGUACACAAGGUAAGGCAUGGUAAAUACAUGUACACAAGGUAAGGCAUGGUAAAUACACAAGGUAAGGCAUUGUAAAUACACAGGGUAAGGCAUUGUAAAUACACAAGGUAAGACAUGGUAAAUACACAAGGUAAGACAUGGUAAAUACACAAGGUAAGGCAUUAUAAAUACACAAGGUAAGGCAUGGUAAAUACAUGUACACAAGGUAAGGCAUGGUAAAUACACAAGGUAAGGCAUUGUAAAUACACAAGGUAAGGCAUGGUAAAUACACAAGGUAAGGCAUUGUAAAUACACAAGGUAAGGCAUGAUAAAUACACCAGGUAAGGCAUGGUAAAUACACAAGGUAAGGCAUUGUAAAUACACAAGGUAAGGCAUGGUAAAUACACAAGGUAAGGCAUUGUAAAUACACAAGGUAAGGCAUUGUAAAUACACAAGGUAAAGCAUGGUAAAUACACAAGGUAAGGCAUUGUAAAUACACAAAGUAAGGCAUUGUAAAUACACAAGGUAAGACAUGGUAAAUACACA